rnacentral:rRNA from 1 species
UCAGCUCGUGCCGUGAGGUGUCAGGUUAAGUCCUAUAACGAGCGCAACCCCUGUUGUUAGUUGCCAGCGAGUCAUGUCGGGAACUCUAACGAGACUGCCAGUGCAAACUGUGAGGAAGGUGGGGAUGACGUCAAAUCAUCACGGCCCUUACGCCUUGGGCUACACACGUGCUACAAUGGACGGUACAGAGAGCAGCCACUGGGUGACCAGG